rnacentral:rRNA from 1 species
CCGUUGCCAGCCCGCUCAGAAACUACAAAGGAAUUGACGGGGCCCGCACAAGCGAGGAGCAUGUGGUUUAAUUCGAUGAUACGCGAGGAACCUUACCUGGGCUCGAACGUAAGAUGACUGUAGGUGAAAGCUUACAUCUCUUCGGAGCAUUUUACGAGGUGCUGCAUGGUUGUCGUCAGCUCGUGCCGUGAGGUGUCGGGUUAAGUCCCAUAACGAGCGCAACCCCUACCUUUAGUUGCCAUCAGGUAAUGCUGGGGACUCUAAAGGAACUGCCUACGCAAGUAGUGAGGAAGGCGGGGAUGACGUCAAAUCAGCACGGCCCUUACGUCCAGGGCUACACACGUGCUACAAUGGCCGAUACAGAGGGCAGCUACCUGGUGACAGGAUGCAAAUCUCCAAAGUCGGUCUCAGUUCGGAUCGGAGUCUGCAACCCGACUCCGUGAAGUUGGAUUCGCUAGUAAUCGCGCAUCAGCCAUGGCGCGGUGAAUACGUUCCCGGGCCUU